CACCAACCACGACUCCGGCAGGGAAAACUCCUUUUUCUACCUAGCCAGUAAUGUGCCCCGGCAAGCCGCUGUCUGUGCUCGCUCACGCCGCCACUCGCCCUGUCACCUCGCCUGCUGAGACCUCGCUUGCAGCGCCUUCCUUCCUGUCACAUGCCAGUCAAGUCCGCCACCCACAAUGCGCCACUGGAUGCAACUAGACCAUGCUCGCCUUCGCCAAAUCUAAAUCCUGGCAAAGCCGCGCCUGCGCCGGCCUUGUCUCCCAUGCCCAA
rnacentral:lncRNA from 1 species